rnacentral:rRNA from 1 species
CAGCCGCCACGGUAAUACGAGGGGUGCAAGCGUUAUUCGGAUUGAUUGGGUGUAAAGGGUGUGCAGACGGCUUAUUAAGUCACUUGUUAAAUUCUUCGGCCUAACUGAAGGUCUGCAAGUGAUACUGAUGAGCUAGAGGGUGGAAGAGAGAAGUGGAAUUCUCGGAGUAGCGGUAAAAUGCGUAGAUCUCGAGAGGAACACCAAUGGCGAAGGCAGCUUCUUGGUCCAUUCCUGACGUUCAUACACGAAAGCGUGGGGAGCGAACAGGAUUAGAUACCCCAGUAGUCCCUGUCUCUUAUAA